AUUAGAUACCCUAUUAUUUAAAAUGUAAAUUAUUUCUAGAUUAGUAUUAGUUAUGUUCUUGAAAAUUAAAAAUUUUGGCGGUUUUUUAGUCUAUUCAGAGGAACCUGUUCUGUAAUUGAUAAUCCACGAUUUAAAUUACUUUUUUUAAAGCUUAUAUAUCGUUGUAGAAUGAAUAUUUUAAAAGAAUUAAAUAUUCAAGAUUUAUUAAUAUAAAUUAGAUCAAAUCAAGGUAUAGUUUAUAAAAAAGAAGAAAUGGGUUACAUUUAUUUUAAUAAAGAAUUUAUUAUUGAAAAUAAUGAUGAAUUUGGAUUUGAUUGUAAUUUUUUAUAAAUAUAGAAAAUGAUUUUUUAGCUCUAAAUAAUGUACAUA
rnacentral:rRNA from 1 species